rnacentral:rRNA from 1 species
UAGUGAGUUUGAUCCUGGCUCAGAACGAACGCUGGCGGCAUGCCUAACACAUGCAAGUCGAACGAGACCUUCGGGUCUAGUGGCGCACGGGUGCGUAACGCGUGGGAAUCUGCCCUUGGGUUCGGAAUAACAGUUAGAAAUGACUGCUAAUACCGGAUGAUGUCUUCGGACCAAAGAUUUAUCGCCCAGGGAUGAGCCCGCGUCGGAUCAGCUUGUUGGUGAGGUAAUGGCUUACCAAGGCGAUUGACGGGUAGCCGGCCUGGAGAGGGGCGACCGGCCACACUGGGGACUGAGACACGGCCCAGACUCCGUACGGGGAGGCAGCAGUGGGGAACUUUUCCACAAUGGGCGAAAGCCUGAUGGAGCGACGCGCGU